AGCUUCGGAUGAAGGCUCAGCAUCCCUUGGUCUCAGGUCUCCGGGAAGGGGUGGAGACAGGAAGGAGGGGAAACGUAGCCAUUUCUCUGCACUGCUCGACCUCUGCUCACAGUUCCCAUUUCCCGGGAAUCCAGGGGUCUCCACGGCCUAGGACUGCACGAUGCUGGACAUUUUCAUCCUGAUGUUCUUUGCCAUCAUAGGCCUGGUGGUUCUGUCCUACAUUAUCUAUCUGCUGUAGCAGCCUGCCUGCGGCCCCGGCCGGCCGGGAGCCUGCGGAACAGCGCUGAGUGCCAGAAUGGAGCUGGCCCGCCAAGCAUCCUGCUCGCUGACGCACCGGUGGAGUUUUGCUUCUGGUCAUUAUUUCGGCUCCAGCCGACAAGAGGUCGCUUACCAACCAACAGCAGCAGCAACGUUGCUGCCCCACAGACUUCUUGCAGAGCAAUGGGAUGUGGUCAGCCCCUGGCAAGCCGGGCUUUGUGAGGCACAGGCAGAAGCCCUCUCUGGAACAUCAGGACCUCGAGGACUGGCUGGCAGAUGCUGCUUGUGUUGGAGAGGUUGACAGAGCUUGUUGGGCAUACAGAAGUGAAAUGUAGACUCACUCAUGUUGCCAUGGAGAGCUGCUCAAAAAUUCAUGUGGGUAGCCUUUCCUUAGGUCCAAAUACAAUUGCACAUGAUGCUGGAGUGUUUUUUUUUUUUUUGUCAUCUAGCCUGUCUCACAAGCAAGGCAUUCCUUUGUUAAUUCAAGAGCAAGUUCAACAUCACCGUCUUUACAGAUUGCACAAUCUGAGUUGUGUGGUUUCCUUUGCCUGGAUCUCCAGCCCCAGGACACUUCUUAAAAUUUUUCAUUUCUUCCCUUCUACAUCCCACUUGAACUCUACCUUCUCAUUUAAAGAGUGAAAUGUUUAUAUAGUUCUCGUUCUUUGAGCCUUACUAUAAAUUAUUGAAAAUGGCCAUAAUAAUUUAAGGGAAAAAAUAUUACACCAAAGUGAGUGGAAUUUAAAAAAUUGUCAAAUGUUUCUUUUCUUGAAAACAAAAUGUCAACAUCAACAUAUUUCCCUGUCCACUUAGGGUUAAAUAAGCUAUAUAUUUUGGAAUUCAGAGUAGAUUUGGGCCUGCAAAUUGGGGAGGGGAUUUUUAUUCCUUUGAAUAAUCCAUCAUCAUUGUUCUACACUAAAUUUCCCUUUAUUUCUAGUUUAAAAAUAAAGAUAAAGAUUAAAUUAAUAGUUUUUGUAAUAA